UUAAGUUAUUAAGGGCGCACGGUGGAUGCCUUGGCACUAGAAGCCGAUGAAGGACGUUACUAACGACGAUAUGCUUUGGGGAGCUGUAAGUAAGCUUUGAUCCAGAGAUUUCCGAAUGGGGAAACCCAGCAUGAGUUAUGUCAUGUUAUCGAUAUGUGAAUACAUAGCAUAUCAGAAGGCACACCCGGAGAACUGAAACAUCUUAGUACCCGGAGGAAGAGAAAGAAAAUUCGAUUCCCUUAGUAGCGGCGAGCGAAACGGGAAGAGCCCAAACCAACAAGCUUGCUUGUUGGGGUUGUAGGACACUCUAUACGGAGUUACAAAGGACGACAUUAGACGAAUCAUCUGGAAAGAUGAAUCAAAGAAGGUAAUAAUCCUGUAGUCGAAAAUGUUGUCUCUCUUGAGUGGAUCCUGAGUACGACGGAGCACGUGAAAUUCCGUUGGAAUCUGGGAGGACCAUCUCCUAAGGCUAAAUACUCUCUAGUGACCGAUAGUGAACCAGUACCGUGAGGGAAAGGUGAAAAGCACCCCGGAAGGGGAGUGAAAUAGAACCUGAAACCGUGUGCUUACAAGUAGUCAGAGCCCGUUAAUGGGUGAUGGCGUGCCUUUUGUAGAAUGAACCGGCGAGUUACGAUUUGAUGCAAGGUUAAGCAGUAAAUGUGGAGCCGUAGCGAAAGCGAGUCUGAAUAGGGCGUUUAGUAUUUGGUCGUAGACCCGAAACCAGGUGAUCUACCCUUGGUCAGGUUGAAGUUCAGGUAACACUGAAUGGAGGACCGAACCGACUUACGUUGAAAAGUGAGCGGAUGAACUGAGGGUAGCGGAGAAAUUCCAAUCGAACCUGGAGAUAGCUGGUUCUCUCCGAAAUAGCUUUAGGGCUAGCCUCAAGUGAUGAUUAUUGGAGGUAGAGCACUGUUUGGACGAGGGGCCCCUCUCGGGUUACCGAAUUCAGACAAACUCCGAAUGCCAAUUAAUUUAACUUGGGAGUCAGAACAUGGGUGAUAAGGUCCGUGUUCGAAAGGGAAACAGCCCAGACCACCAGCUAAGGUCCCAAAAUAUAUGUUAAGUGGAAAAGGAUGUGGCGUUGCCCAGACAACUAGGAUGUUGGCUUAGAAGCAGCCAUCAUUUAAAGAGUGCGUAAUAGCUCACUAGUCGAGUGACACUGCGCCGAAAAUGUACCGGGGCUAAACAUAUUACCGAAGCUGUGGAUUGUCCUUUGGACAAUGGUAGGAGAGCGUUCUAAGGGCGUUGAAGCAUGAUCGUAAGGACAUGUGGAGCGCUUAGAAGUGAGAAUGCCGGUGUGAGUAGCGAAAGACGGGUGAGAAUCCCGUCCACCGAUUGACUAAGGUUUCCAGAGGAAGGCUCGUCCGCUCUGGGUUAGUCGGGUCCUAAGCUGAGGCCGACAGGCGUAGGCGAUGGAUAACAGGUUGAUAUUCCUGUACCACCUAUAAUCGUUUUAAUCGAUGGGGGGACGCAGUAGGAUAGGCGAAGCGUGCGAUUGGAUUGCACGUCUAAGCAGUAAGGCUGAGUAUUAGGCAAAUCCGGUACUCAUUAAGGCUGAGCUGUGAUGGGGAGAAGACAUUGUGUCUUCGAGUCGUUGAUUUCACACUGCCGAGAAAAGCCUCUAGAUAGAAAAUAGGUGCCCGUACCGCAAACCGACACAGGUAGUCAAGAUGAGAAUUCUAAGGUGAGCGAGCGAACUCUCGUUAAGGAACUCGGCAAAAUGACCCCGUAACUUCGGGAGAAGGGGUGCUCUUUAGGGUUAACGCCCAGAAGAGCCGCAGUGAAUAGGCCCAAGCGACUGUUUAUCAAAAACACAGGUCUCUGCUAAACCGUAAGGUGAUGUAUAGGGGCUGACGCCUGCCCGGUGCUGGAAGGUUAAGAGGAGUGGUUAGCUUCUGCGAAGCUACGAAUCGAAGCCCCAGUAAACGGCGGCCGUAACUAUAACGGUCCUAAGGUAGCGAAAUUCCUUGUCGGGUAAGUUCCGACCCGCACGAAAGGCGUAACGAUUUGGGCACUGUCUCAACGAGAGACUCGGUGAAAUCAUAGUACCUGUGAAGAUGCAGGUUACCCGCGACAGGACGGAAAGACCCCGUGGAGCUUUACUGUAGCCUGAUAUUGAAAUUCGGCACAGCUUGUACAGGAUAGGUAGGAGCCUUUGAAACGUGAGCGCUAGCUUACGUGGAGGCGCUGGUGGGAUACUACCCUAGCUGUGUUGGCUUUCUAACCCGCACCACUUAUCGUGGUGGGAGACAGUGUCAGGCGGGCAGUUUGACUGGGGCGGUCGCCUCCUAAAAGGUAACGGAGGCGCUCAAAGGUUCCCUCAGAAUGGUUGGAAAUCAUUCAUAGAGUGUAAAGGCAUAAGGGAGCUUGACUGCG
rnacentral:rRNA from 1 species